GAUGAACGCUGGCGGCGUGCCUAAUACAUGCAAGUCGAGCGAAUGGAUUAAGAGCUUGCUCUUAUGAAGUUAGCGGCGGACGGGUGAGUAACACGUGGGUAACCUGCCCAUAAGACUGGGAUAACUCCGGGAAACCGGGGCUAAUACCGGAUAACAUUUUGAACCGCAUGGUUCGAAAUUGAAAGGCGGCUUCGGCUGUCACUUAUGGAUGGACCCGCGUCGCAUUAGCCAGUUGGUGAGGUAACGGCUCACCAAGGCAACGAUGCGUAGCCGGCCUGAGAGGGUGAUCGGCCACACUGGGACUGAGACGCGGCCCAGACUCCUACGGGAGGCAGCAGUAGGGAAUCUUCCGCAAUGGACGAAAGUCUGACGGAGCAACGCCGCGUGAGUGAUGAAGGCUUUCGGGUCGUAAAACUCUGUUGUUAGGGAAGAACAAGUGCUAGUUGAAUAAGCUGGCACCUUGACGGUACCUAACCAGAAAGCCACGGCUAACUACGUGCCAGCAGCCGCCGCGG
rnacentral:rRNA from 1 species